GGGCCCAUAGUUCAGUGGCAGAAUACUCGCAUUCAAUCCCCUUCCCCUCCCUUCCUCCCCUCCACUUCCCCCCCAUGCCGAAUUGCGAGAGACCCGCGUUCGAUCCGCGGUGGGCCCA